UACGUAGGGUGCGAGCGUUGUCCGGAAUUACUGGGCGUAAAGAGCUCGUAGGUGGUUUGUCGCGUUGUCCGUGAAAACUCACAACUCAAUUGUGGGCGUGCGGGCGAUACGGGCAGACUGGAGUACUGCAGGGGAGACUGGAAUUCCGUGGUGUAGCGGUGGAAUGCGCAGAGUAUCAGGAGGAACACCGGUGGCGAAGGCGG
rnacentral:rRNA from 1 species